rnacentral:misc_RNA from 1 species
GGCAUUCAGACACAUCUGCAAUGGUACUUAGUUCUUGGUUGAGUAAUUAUAUGCAGUUCCUUUAUUUUUCUUUUGCAGUGAUAGAAACUGAAUCUUGGAAUUUAGUAUUUAUAUGCUUAGAUUUUUAAGAAACCUGUGAAUUAUUCUUUGCCGUAGUUGAACAUAUGAACUGUUGUUGUCUCAGGAUAACCCUUGAUUUUGAUCCUGCAGCUAUUAAC